GCCCUCGCAGCCCGCGGCCACCGCGCUCCCAUGCCAUAGACGCGACCCCACUCAUCGGUCCAGGUCGGUCGCUCGGAGCCGAGCGGCGGCGGGCGGGCGAGGAGUGCGUUUUAUUCGGUCCCGGCGGGCCUCGGAUCGGAGAUGGUGCUGGAUCUCAAUGUGGAGUCGCCGGCGGACUCGGGCACGUCCAGCUCCUCCGUGCUCAACUCCGCGGACGCCGGUGGCGGCGGCUUCCGGUUCGGCCUGCUCGGGAGCCCUGAUGAUGACGACUGCUCCGGCGAGCCGGCGCCGGUCGGGCCCGGGUUCGUCACGAGGCAGCUCUUCCCCGCGUCGCCGCCCGGGCACGCGGGCGCGCCCGGGGUGACGAUGGGGCAGCAGGCCCCGGCGCCUGCGCCGAUGGCGCCCGUGUGGCAGCCGCGGCGCGCCGAGGAGCUCCUCGUGGCGCAGCGGAUGGCGCCCGCGAAGAAGACGCGGCGGGGCCCGAGGUCGCGCAGCUCGCAGUACAGGGGCGUCACCUUCUACCGCAGGACCGGCCGGUGGGAGUCGCACAUCUGGGAUUGCGGGAAGCAGGUCUACUUGGGUGGUUUCGACACUGCGCACGCGGCCGCAAGGGCCUACGAUCGCGCGGCGAUCAAGUUCCGGGGGCUGGAGGCCGACAUCAACUUCAAUCUGAGCGACUACGAGGAGGAUUUGAAGCAGAUGAGGAACUGGACCAAGGAGGAGUUCGUGCACAUCCUCCGCCGCCAGAGCACGGGGUUCGCCAGGGGGAGCUCCAAGUACCGCGGCGUCACGCUCCACAAGUGCGGCCGCUGGGAGGCAAGGAUGGGCCAGCUGCUCGGCAAGAAGUACAUAUAUCUGGGCCUCUUUGACAGCGAAGUUGAAGCUGCAAGGGCGUACGACAGGGCGGCGAUUCGCUUCAAUGGGAGGGAAGCUGUGACUAACUUUGAGAGCAGCUCCUACAAUGGGGAUGCUCCACCCGACGCCGAAAAUGAGGCAAUUGUUGAUGCUGAUGCUCUUGACUUGGAUCUGCGGAUGUCGCAACCCACCGCGCACGAUCCCAAGAGGGACAACAUCAUCGCCGGCCUUCAGUUAACUUUUGAUUCCCCUGAAUCGUCAACCACAAUGGUCUCUUCUCAGCCAAUGAGCUCAUCUUCGUCCCAGUGGCCUGUGCAUCAACAUGGCACGGCAGUAGCACCUCAGCAGCACCAGCGUUUGUACCCAUCUGCUUGUCAUGGCUUCUACCCGAACGUACAGGUAUCAUCAUCACUACAAGAACGACCACCUCCUCCUCCUCCUCCUCCUCCUCUGCUUGGUGCGCUGCUCCACCAGCUUACUGAAACUGUUGCUACCACUGAAUAAUGUUUCUGAAGAAACUGCUAAUAACAUUUUCAGUUUUCGACAAGUUCGUUCCUGAAAUUAAGGUUUCCAUGCUUCUUUCCUAAAACUAAUCACGCCUGCUCUCCUAAAACAUCUACAGGUGCAAGAAUUUUGGGUGUAGUGAUGUGUCUGUUGACUGAGCAUCUCGUCUCAUGGACAGACAGAGCAUGCUGUGUGGUAGUACCAGAGUACUUACUAGAUGUGGGCACUACUGUUUGCCCUGUGAGCUCGCACCACCUUUCGAAAAAAACUGCAGUGCGCCCUCCGGUUCUUGCAGUUCCAUCCGUCCCCCAUGGCACAGCUUUAGAUGCAGCAGCAGCUUGCUUAGUUGUAGUACCCUGAUCACAUGGCGCAGCUUUAUUCUUGGUGCAGGUGCAGGAGAGGCCCAUGGAGGCAAGGCCCCCUGAGCAGCCGUCGUCCUUCCCCGGCUGGGGGUGGCAAGCGCAAGCCAUGCCGCCGGGCUCCUCCCACUCGCCGUUGCUUUACGCUGCAGCAUCAUCAGGAU